rnacentral:lncRNA from 1 species
CAGCAGAGCAAUGUGAUCCACCGGCAAGGAGGGACGCCAAUAAGGCAUCCAAAAAGAUAAGUCUUAUAAAAUAUAUAGAUUUAUGGUAAUUAAGACUGAGCUAACAGAUGAGAAUCCUAGUCAUUGGCCAAGCAGCAUUGUACCUACUACAAGUCUCUCUGUGCAUUAUUUGGGGCCCUAACUCAGGCGGGAGGCUGGCGUAGAGCGCACACUGGGUGCUGGGCUUGGCGGCUUUUGGCAGAAAGAUUUAUUGUAACAGAUAUUGUAAGAAAGAAUGAAAGAGAGAAAGAAAUCCUUAUUAAAACUAGACUAUUUUAUAACCCAGAUGCCCCUCAACUGAAGAAUGCAUGGAGAAAAUGUGGUACAUUUACACAAUGGAGUACUACUCAGCAGAAAAAAAAACAACGGAAUCUUGAAAUUCACAGGCAAAUGGAUGGAACUAGAAGAAACCAUCCCAAGUGAGUUCCUCGUCUGGCUAACUGUUGUUGUUAACUGAAGAAUGUCAGCCCAGGACAUGGUUUUUGUGCUUAAAAGCUCACCCCGAGAAAGGCUUGGGGCUACCCUAGGAUCCAGAACACUCAGUGUAGUCACUGUUUGGCCAAUAAAGACUUUUUAUUGGUUUAAACCAAUGUCCAAGUUCUCUUCUCUAGUGAAUGCCAGACAACAAUAUCACAAAUGCAGCCAGGUAACUAAUUGAUUCACUUGGUAAGUGGUUUUAUAGUCAAUUAAUCCAGUUGGUAAAUUAAUUUAGUAAUUAAUUAAUCCACUUGGCAAAUGAUUUGUAAUUUAGGCAGUGAUGCUCUUCUUUGUUAGGGUGCAAAUGAUCCCCCUGUUAUGCCUUUAGUAGCUCAAUAUUCUUUCACUUGUACUUAUCAAAAUGAAAUGCUUAGUAGAAUGAUAAGGUCAAAUUUUUUGAAUAUAUCUCUUUUUAAAAUCCAUGAGCAAGAUACCUGAAUAGCUAUUAAAUUGCAUAUUUAGGCAACCUGGCCAUCCUUCUGUAGAGAAGAAAGCUUCAUGGAAUUUUGGAAUUGCACUCAAACCAU